UUGCAAGUCAACCUGAACUAAUUAUUUGUAUGUGAAUAUUUAUGAUGGUUACUUAUGCCUCCCCGGCAUAAACAGGUAAGA
rfam:Bacteroides graminisolvens DSM 19988 = JCM 15093 DNA, contig: JCM15093.contig00002.